UGUAAGCGUAUACCAAAGUUGUUGCAGUUAAAACGCUCGUAGUCGGAAUUUGGCAGUUCCGGAUGUGUGCACGUCGUGUGCGCACUUCGCGGGGAUUGCUUUUGUGGUCUUGCGUAGGAUGAGGCACUUUUAUUAGUGAACGUCCUCACGCAACCACUUUUUACUGUGAGAAAAUCAGAGUGCUCAAAGCAGGCAUUUGCCGUGAAUGUAUUAGCAUGGAAUAAUAGAAUAGGACUUGGUUCUAUUUUGUUGGUUUGUUGGGACUGAGUAAUGAUUAAGAGGGACAGUUGGGGGCAUUUUUAUUUCGGUGCUAGAGGUGAAAUUCUUAGAUUACCGAAAGACAAACUGCUGCGAAAGCGUCUGCCAAGGAUGUUUUCAUUGA
rnacentral:rRNA from 1 species